CAUUAUUCACAGCUUGACAUUCCAGUUGUUCCACCAGUGCUGAGCUGUACGGAGAGUGAACAACAGUGGCACAAGCCAAGAACCAUGGGUAUUAAACCAGGUCCCAUCGAAAAGAUGGCUGUGAUGUCUGCCAAACCAAAGCAGAGGACCAUGGCCGAGGGAGUAAGGUCCACACUGUACAAAGCCACCAGUGGAGAGUUGCUGGACCUGUCUGUUCUCAAAGUGUCAGAGAUCUACAAAGAGUUCACCCCUGUUUCUGCACCAACCAUUUGUACAAUGGGUAUCACCUGUGAGGUGCCACUGGUGAACUGUGCAC